GGUUGAUCCUACCAGUAGUCAUAUGCUUGUCUCAAAGAUUAAGCUAUGCAUUUGUAAGUAUGAACUAAUUCAGGCUGUGAAACUGCGAAUGGCUCAUUAAAUCAGUUAUAGUUUGUUUGAUGGUAUUUGCUACUCGGAUAACCGUAGCAAUUCUAGAGCUAAUACGUGCAACAAACCCCGACUUCUGGAAGGGAUGCAUUUAUUAGAUAAAAGGUCAAUGCGGGCUUUGCCCGUUGCUCUGAUGAUUCAUGAUAACUCGACGGAUCGCACGACCUUUGUGUCGGCGACGCAUCAUUCAAAUUUCUGCCCUAUCAACUUUCGAUGGUAGGAUAAUGGCCUACUAUGGUGGUGACAGGUGACGGAGAAUUAGGGUUCGAUUCUGGAGAGGGAGCCUGAGAAACGAUUACCACAUCCAAGGAAGGCAACAAGCGCGCAAAUUACCCAAUCCUGACACGGGGAGGUAGUGACAAUAAAUAACAAUACCGGGCUCUACGAGUCUGAUAAUUGGAAUGAGUACAAUCUAAAUCCCUUAACUAUGAUCCAUUGGAGGGCAAGUAUGGUGCUAGCAGUCGCGGUAAUUCCAGCUCCAAUAGCGUAUAUUUAAGUUGUAGUUAAAAAGCUCGUAGUUGGACCUAGGGGUGGGUCGGCCGGUCCGCCUCACGAUGAGCAUCGAUCUGCUCGUCCCUACUGUCGGCGAUGCACUCCUGGCCUUAAUUGGCCGGGUCGUUCCUCCGGCGCUGUUACUUUGAAGAAAUUAGAGUGCUUAAAGCAGGCCUACACUUGUAUACAUUAGCAUGGGAUAACAUCACAGGAUUUCGAUCCUAUUAUGUUGGCCCUUCGGGAUCGGAGUAAUGAUUAACAGGGACAGUCGGGGGCAUUCGUAUUUCAUAGUCAGAGGUGAAAUUCAUGGAUUUAUGAAAGACGAACAACUGCAAAAGCAUUUGCCAAUGAUGUUUUCAUUAAUCAAGAAAGAAAGUUGGGGGCUCAAAGACAAUCAGAUACCGUCCUAGUCUCAACCAUAAACGAUGCCGACCAGGGAUCGACGGAUGUUGCUUUUAGGACUUCGCCGGCACCUUAUAAGAAAUCAAAGUCUUUGGGUUCCGGGGGGAGCCGUACCCUCCACUCUACAUCAGAAACUCAAAUUUAUAAUGGAAUUUUAAUAUUUUUUUCGAUUGGAGAAAGAAUCGAUUGCUUCAAGGUAUGAUAGAUCAGUUAUUCUCAAUAGGAAAUAGUUUAAUAUUAUUAUCUUUCAUCCAAAAUUUCUAAAUAUGUUAUUUUAGGGAAUCUUAAAUUAAAUUAGACUCGAACUUGUACCGAUUUAGGGCGUUGUGGGGGUGCUAGUCCUUCCCCACACGUAACCGACUCCCGAACUCAAAUUUUGGUAACAUAGACCCCAAGUUUGUCUUUUCAAUUAAAAUUAAUAUUUUAUUAAAAUGACAAAUUUAUUUUUGGGUGCCCAAUCACACCCUAAUCAAAGAUUGGUG
rnacentral:rRNA from 1 species